GAUGAACGCUGGCUACAGGCUUAACACAUGCAAGUCGAGGGGAAACGACGGGGAAGCUUGCUUCCCCGGGCGUCGACCGGCGCACGGGUGAGUAACGCGUAUCCAACCUGCCUCUGACUGAGGGAUAACCCGUCGAAAGUCGGCCUAAUACCUCAUGGCAUCGUCUGCGGGCAUCCAACGACGAUUAAAGAUUUCAUCGGUCAGGGAUGGGGAUGCGUCUGAUUAGCUUGUUGGCGGGGUAACGGCCCACCAAGGCUACGAUCAGUAGGGGUUCUGAGAGGAAGGUCCCCCACAUUGGAACUGAGACCCGGUCCAAACUCCUACGGGAGGCAGCAGUGAGGAAUAUUGGUCAAUGGGCGGGAGCCUGAACCAGCCAAGUAGCGUGCAGGAUGACGGCCCUAUGGGUUGUAAACUGCUUUUAUGCGGGGAUAAAGUGAGGGACGUGUCCUUCAUUGCAGGUACCGCAUGAAUAAGGACCGCCUAAUUCCGUG
rnacentral:rRNA from 1 species